CUUAAAGACACUCCAUUUGGAUCCACCGCUGACCGCCCGUCCACCAAACACAGAACAGAGGGUGUCAAACUGGGUGCCAGGGAGCCACUUGGGGGCCAACUUCAAGGACUUCCUCGGAGUAACCCCGGCAGUUUCCCGGGGAUGUCUCUGUGCACAGCGAAAACUCUGUUCUGCAUGGGACACAAGUGAAAAUCAGCAUAAUUGCACUAAUUGCAGCCAAUUUCUCACUGAAUGGACCCCGCUGUCACAUCUCACAACAAGCGGGGGGACAAGAACAUCUCAUGGUCCCCCAGAUGGAGAUGAAAGGCAGUAAAGAAAAAAAACACCCAGUGAUCGUUCUUCAUUCAGCCAGAUGGAAGGGCUUGUAAUUUAAAGAAAAAAAGGAGAGGAGACGAAACACAGCAGAAAUUGAUUUGAGUAUCCAAAUCAAGUACCCAGGUCACGAGGCCACCUUGUGCACCAGGGCCCCUAAUUUCCAUUCAGGUCUAAAAUGUCGCGAUAUCCUGCGUGACAGCCUCACAGCUCCCCGAGUUUCUCCAGGGAGUGAACCGAGUGAACCCCAACAAAACGUCUUUGUCAACAUCUGAGUGCGGAGCGGUCAUGAGUGUCAACAAACACUCUGAGGGGCAUUCCUGUGUCUCUUCAAUGAAAUAAUAGGGUGCAUCAUGUGUUUAGGCCAAACACAACUCCACACAACCUCUGUGAUACAACACAAUGGUAGGCCCCAAUAGGAAACUGCGGCCAACUACCUUUAUUCACCAAGGACACAGCUAAUUUGUCCAUUCAGUAUGAAGUCCAACAUUUGUAGGAGGGAACCUCCCACAUGAUUUUCUUGUCUCAUCAAACAUGUGUGCCCUUCUUGCAUUCAAAUGCAUCUUGCAAUUACCCAUCUACCACUGCUUCUCCACACCUCUCUCAUGUCUCCAUAUUUAUCCAUCAUGGCCUUUCCUUCCUGUUCUAUCAUUUGCUCUGCUUUCCUUUCCAGAUGUUCUCCUUUUUGUCUGCAUCUUCUUUGUCCAAUGAAUCUGGAUCCAUUUUUGUCUUUAGAGCUUUCUUCUGGUUGACUUGAAUGUUUUUUUUUUUUAUCCAUUUGACCUAUGCUACAUCUUGUCUUUACUCCUCUUUCUUUCCUUCAUGUACCUUUCUGUUCCUUCAGUUAUUUCCCAGGGCCCAUCACUCUCUCUGCCCCCACACACUUAUUUGUAUCUCUCACUGGGUGGGCUUCCUAGGAGUUAAGGCUGACCUUUCAACUUCACUUUGACCUUUGACCUUGUUGCUGUAGGCUCCUGCACUUAGGCCACACUAGCACCUGCCACUCACCGACUUUCCAUCCUCUCUGCUCUGCAUCCCAACCUCCUAUCACCACCCUCCCCUUCUUCUCUUCACCCUCCCCUUUGUCAGCGGUAUACCAGGGUUAUAUAGGGUAUUCUGGGGGCACUCACACUCUCUAUAGUCAGUGCAGAGAGAUGGAAGACAUGGGAGACAGAGUGCUAUAGCCAAGUAAAACUUUGGUCUCCUGGAGGAACUCUAAUUACCAUGGUACUCAUUCGGUAUGGCACUUAAAACACAGAGUUCAAAACAGCUAAAAUAAUGUGAGAACAGUGUGUCAGGUUUGAUUAUCUCAGCUUUAGAUAUUCUUACAGGUCAACACAUACUUGUUUGACUGGUCUGCAUGACUUAUUUUAAUUUAUGUAUUAAUUGCCUGUGUUUACUAGAUUUAUUCAAUCUUAUUGUGUCUCAAAUAUGACUCACAACUGUGCAUUUCAUCAGUGCCCAGGUCAAUGUUAUGCAGUAUAAAUAUGGAAGGAUAUUGUCUAAAUAAGAGGAUUUAUUUUCUAUGGUCUGUUGAGCUGUGAACUACCUGGUCUGUCCUCUUGUGUCAAAAAAGUACUCCUGUGUAUGGUAUGGACCCAGUAAUUGACUUCAAUUGACAUAGCUAUAUUUUGCCAUCUGGUGGUGAUUGAUAAUAUUACACACAAGUUAAAUUCUGUCAAUAUUUUCACAUUAAUGUCCAUUUACACUUUUACAGGUGGAGAAGAAUUACUCUCUAUCUGUUCCCAAACACAUUAUCUGUGCUGAAACUGUAAGCUCUGAGUUACAUUAUUUCCCUCACUACACAAUGAUCGGAGAAACUAUUGCAUUUUAAAGCAAAGUAACUAAAACGUUGCUCAACUCCUCAACUAAUUAAUUAUAGGCAUUUUCAUUGCACAGCACUCACAGAGCCAUCCUUCUGCCUUCACGGAAACAUCCUUGAGAUAAAUAAAAUAAUAACACAUGUAAUACACCUUGGUAUCAUUAGGAAUGCAUGUGAUGUUCUCAAAUAAGGGUGUAAAAAAUGAUUUCAGUUACUUUGAAUUGGGAGCCAUGAUCCAAGCAGAUUUUUGUUCCACUUGUCAACAGAUUCUAUGGUAUUUAUUGGUGGCCCUUUUAAUAAUAGAACUAAUAAACUAAUUAAAUUACAUCAAUAAAUAGUAUUACAAUAACCAAAAAAACAACUAUUCAACAACUAAAUUCAAAGGAACUGUUCAGUUUGCCCAGCCUCAAGUUUAACCAACAGUCAGAAAUAGAAAUGAUCAUGGGUAAACUGGUGAACAUCAGUCCUCACAUGAGUAGGGUCUGAUUAUAAAGCUACAUUCUUAAAUAUAAAUUAUCAUAUUGCCACAAUGUAUUGUCAGUCUUGGGAUUGUCUGGAUGACUGAGGUGCAGACAAACUUACAUACCAUUGUCUUUCCACAUCUAUUCACCCUCAUUCUGCAUGACUGCAUACUUGUCCCUUCUUAAUGAAUAUGAUUGUGCUGAAUUACUGUAGGAUUUCAGCACAAUCACAUUCUUUGUUUCUUCUUUUCACAUUUAAACAAAAAGUUUGUGCUGUGCUGAGUCAUGAGCUAAGGAACAAAUUAGUUCAUAAUAAGUUAUUUAAAAAAAAGAUUUAAUCUUCUUUCCUUUGAUUUUGUAUUAAGUUUUUUAUUAAUAGCAUCAUAUAAUAUGCAUUUCAUGGGAAAAGUAGGUGCCUUAUGAUGGAUUCACUGUAAUCAGAGAGCCACCUGUGUCUCACUCAAGCUGAGCCACCAUAUGGCCAACUGGCUUAAAAGACAGAACACAAUUAUGGCAACCAUAUCACAGAAAAUGUUAAUUUCAGUUUCAAGGAACUAUUCUUUUUUUUUCUUUUGAAAAAUAGGUUAUUUUAUUUAUUUCAAACAACUUUGCAAAUUUACAGCAGAAAUAAAACAGUUUUUCCAUGGAUUCUCAGGGCAAAGCAACAAAAAUACUUCAGUUAAUUAAUUUAAUUAAAUCAAAUUGCUGAAUUACGAUCCUAUUUGCUUGCAUUGAUCACCAUAUCCUACAAACCACAGUCAACAGGUCAAAACAACCCCACAACUAUCAGAUUUCCUUAUGAACAAAGCUGCACCUACUAUAGAAUAGAAAAUAGAUAUAUAGAUCACAGCCUUUACCACAAUAAAUAAAAGCAAACACAAGGAAGGGCCCAUCCUCUGCCACUUAUCAACCUUAAGUAUGUGCUGGUGAUUGGUAAUUUAUCACAGAAGGUACACAAUGCAAUGUUUUGCCAGCAGCAACAGAAAAAUUAGUUGCAGAUUUGGUUUGAGUGACCUUUACAUUUUUACUUUGUCAUUAGAAAUUAUAAAGUGAAAACCUUUAGGUGUUUAGUCAUAUCUGAUUCUGCUUUAUGAGUUUCAUGAUCUUAAUUUGAGUAACAAAUGACAUACAGUAUGUAUACCAAAAUAAUUUUGGUAUACAUAAGAUGAUGAAAUGAAAAGUUUUCAGCCUGUGGUGAUAGCUUCCAUAUAACCAUAUACAUGCAAUACAGUCAUCUGGAUAAAAUAUUAUUUACAUCUUUCUUCACGUUAACAGGGUCUUUUGUUUCAAACUGUUCUAUUUGAACAAGUAAAUGUGAAAUCAUUGGGCAUGGGCCUUCUUAUGCUGUAAGUUUCUGUAUGAUUUGCCAUUUCUGGUACUGCAUUAUUAAAUCAGAAAACUUACAUCUGAACUUCCAACAGUCUAGAAAAACCUGUGUGAAAAAGUGGCACAUGCACACACAAAUACAAAAAGACGCACACAGACAAGUCAGAGUUCCAACUGCUCAGAACUUUUAUUUCAAGGGAAAUCAAGGUUAAAAUUAAAUUAAAAUAUAAAAUUUAGAUGGGCAAGUCUGUCUUUAAAGGGAAGGUGUUGACACAAGGAGUAGGCAGCCCUCCAGAGGGAAAGAGGCGGUAGGGGAAAGACAGGAAGCUACAAAAUGAAGUUUAGGGGAUGAACCUGGUCAUUCAGGAAGUUAUGUAUAAAAAAAAAAAGACAAGACAGAUGCAGUUAGUUAUAAUAAACCCCACCCCCAUCUGAAAUGUCCUCAAAUGCAAUCAGUGCUAUAGCUCUCCUUUUCCUUUUUCUGGUUUCUUACAGGAAGUUUUAGAUCAUUUAUCUUCUUCACUCACUCUCACUACCAUCAUCAUCAUAUUCUGUCUUAAUGUAAUCUUUUCCUGCAGUUUUGAAAAAAGUUAACAAAAAGUCCUUCAAAAAUAAAAUGCAGCAACCACAUUUCAUGUUCUUAUAUAUAUAUAUAUA